GAUCCUGGCUCAGAUUGAACGCUGGCGGUAUUGCUUAACACAUGCAAGUCGAACGGUAGCAGGUCUUCGGAUGCUGACGAGUGGCGGACGGGUGCGUAACGCGUAGGAAUCUGCCUAUUAGUGGGGGGACAACUUAGGGAAACUUAAGCUAAUACCGCAUACGCCCUACGGGGGAAAGGAGGGGACCUUCGGGCCUUUCGCUAAUAGAUGAGCCUGCGUUGGAUUAGCUAGUUGGUGGGGUAAAGGCCUACCAAGGCGACGAUCCAUAGCUGGUCUGAGAGGACGAUCAGCCACACUGGGACUGAGACACGGCCCAGACUCCUACGGGAGGCAGCAGUGGGGAAUAUUGGACAAUGGGCGAAAGCCUGAUCCAGCAAUACCGCGUGUGUGAAGAAGGCCUUAGGGUUGUAAAGCACUUUCAAUUGGAAGGAAAAACUCAUGGCCAAUACCCAUGAGCUUGACAUUACCUUUAGAAGAAGCACCGGCUAACUCCGUG
rnacentral:rRNA from 1 species